GAGGAGCGUCGGAUCUUGGGCUGUGUCCCUGGUGCCCUUUGCUCCCAGGCUUGUGCUGUUGGAAUCGCCCUCCCAGCUGCGCAGCUCCGU
rnacentral:pre_miRNA from 1 species